ACCGGAGUUUACGUUCAACUGUAAUUAAUUCUAGGUCAGACUGGCCCAAUAUUAAUUCACUUUUAAAGGACUUGUAUACUGUGUGUAAUGAGAAACCAGAUACAUGGUUAAUUUACAAGAUGUGUUGGGGCCAUGAAAGAAAACAUGAUAGCUCCGUCAGGUUCCUUUACCAACUGAUUCCUCGUGGGAACAGUGUCAUGACAUACUGAAUGAGUCAAGGUUGCAUAACAGAAACCUUAUCUCCCUCAGUUCACCACUCGAGGGAAUAGACCGUUCUAUAUUGUCCUAUAAUCUUUCAGUGGACUUACUUUCAGAUCCAGAUGCACCACAUUGUUCCGAUGUAGGAAGGCUACUCCAUUCAGGAUCUGCUUGGCCAGCCGGAUUACAUCUUUCUCAUUGAAGGCCUCAUCGCUAUCAGCAACACAUUGGUUGAAGAUUUCACCACCGGCGGCACUGGAAGGAAAGCACAGGAAGGAAAACUGAGAAAACAAAACAAGGAUAAGA